GCGGCAUGGUGGCUAGUGCUCUGGCAUUUGGUGCCAAAGGCCCCAGGUUCGAAUCCUGGCUGUGGCA